rnacentral:rRNA from 1 species
UACGGGGGGGGCAAGCGUUGUUCGGAAUUACUGGGCGUAAAGGGUGCGUAGGCGGCUUUCUAAGUUGGAUGUGAAAACUAUGGGCUCAACCCAUAGCCUGCAUCCAAAACUGGAGAGCUUGGGUUCUGGAGGGGAAAGCGGAAUUCCUGGUGUAGCGGUGAAAUGCGUAGAUAUCAGGAGGAACACCGAUGGCGAAGGCAGGUCUCUGGGCCACUACUGACGCUGAGAAGCGAAAGCAUGGGGAGCGAACAGG